UAGGUAUAACGGAUAGUAACUUGAUACAAAUCAAGAGGAAAGUCCGAGCUGCUGUAAGACAGUGUUCCAUUUAACGAAUGGCCGUAGUAAUGCGAGGGAAAGUGCAACAGAGAUUAGACUUCUAUCAGUAAUGAUAGUAAAGGUGAAAAGGUGGAGUAAGAGCCCACCAGUCUUUAUAGUAAUAUAGAGAGCUUGUAAACCCAACAUGGCAGCAAGAAACAGAUGGUCAGCGUCUUACAAUGCUACUGUUUCGCUAGAGGUAUGACGUGAGUCAUACAGUAGAUUAAUUACUAUCACUACAAAACUCGGCUUACGUUAUGCCUAUUCU
rnacentral:RNase_P_RNA from 1 species